CGGAUACAUUAUCUUCCCUCACGGACACUAUAUCACUUUCAUCAAGUGACAGUGACCUCAGGGAAAAGGGCAUUCCUGCAGGCCGCAGUAGAUCCAGCAAAGACAGUUCUGCACCAAAUGUUUCUGUGUCAGAGGCUGCAAAAGAGAUGGUUAAAAAUGCCUUGACUAGGAAACCUGGUGGAGAGGAAAUUCUUGAAGAAUACAAUGCCGAAAAUUCACUGAGCCACCGCACCCGGCGGCAUCUUGUUAACAUAUUGGCAAGUGAUAUGACUGAGAGACAUGGCAGAAUUCCCUCCCGUAAGCAAAAGGAGAAAUAUGCCCUUGGAAUAAUUACACUCUUUCCCUCAUUGAAGGAUCCAUUUUCUCCAAACGGCUAUGAGCAUUUCUACGACGGAGUGAAAGGCACUGGAUAUGUAGCGUGGCGCCUCAAAACCAUGUCCAGGUCUACAACCAAACGGCCAGUGAAGGAAGUCCCAGUGCAUCAAGAACAAGGGCCUAAGCGCAGAAGAUUAGCAACCACAUUGCCUCAGCAACUUGAUGGAGAUGCCUGCAAGGAGGCCAUCUCAUUUCUUGUUCACUCUCCUGAUGAAGCAAGUGUAUUUCAGAAGAUGAAAAUGAUGUUCCAACAUCGCCAGGAUCUGGUGCAUGAUCCACAAAGAACUGCAGAUGUCUUCAAAACAUUUCCACGCUUUUUGGAUGUCAAAGGACUAGUCAAUCAAGACUUCCUGCUGCUGUUUGGUGCUGAAACAGCCACCAAGUUGCUUGAGAAGUGGGACAUGUCAUUCAAGCCAAAGGUUAUUAAAGAAGCCAAACAGCUGACUCAGUCAACUGACCUGUGUCGUUUGAUAAAAGCUGCUGAGAAACCAACAGAGAGUGAUGCAAAUGACUGGGACAGUGACAUGGCCUCUCUGCUGCUACUCCUUCAACUUUUGCCACCCACAGCUGGACGAAAGAGGAGAACCAAAAUAAGUCCAACUGAUGCAGCACACAAAAUGGUGCACUUUCACAAGUCAUGCUGCAGCAUUGAUGAACACUUGCAAGCAAGAGAUGGUAAACAACCAUACAUCCUCGCUGUUGGUCGAACCCAGAACAGCAUUGACACCUUCUACAUUGCAGUGGACAAACAGCUCAUCCCCUGCCAAGCCACCAGCUCACUCAGUGCUUUUGAUGAACUUUUCAAAUCCCACUACGUGUUCAACUUAUCUUACGACGAGUCACUGGUUCAUCUCUACAGUUUUGUGCAGACCACCAUAUUCAACAUUGAUGCCACCUCAACAGAUGAGUCACCACGUGUUCGUGAGUUGCGUGCCAAAAUGUUGAAUGAGAACCAUGUUUAAAUGUUUUAUCUGUCAAACUCUGCAUAGCACCAGUCAGGCUUUGAUAAGUCAUUUGCGACUAGGUCACAGUUUUUAUCCAAGCACCAAAUUUAAGUUGGCUUGUUCACAAGAUGGUUGCAGCCGUCAGUUCACUACAUAUUCUGGUUUAAAAAAACAUUUAAAUAGUGUUCAUGAUGAAGAUUGUUGUCAAAGUGGUGAUGCAGAACCCUCAGAGUCAUUUCAAGCUGAUUUUGACAGAUUACAAGAUACAGACAUAGCAGUUGCAGGAACAAGUGUUACUCAGAGCCUAGAGGUUGGGUGUUCUGAAAACAAUGGGUCAGGUCAAAGAAUUAAAAAAAAUUCUGAAGCAAUUUGCACUAAAAUUAUUGGUAAACUCAAUGGUAGUGGUUUGGCAAAUAGUUUUGUGUCAUCACUUGUUUGUGAUUUGGAAGAUUUUGCAGAUGGACUGCACUGUGAGUUUAAACAUAAAGUACUGAACGUUGUGCCAACAGAAAAUCCUGUUAGAUCUCCAGUGGAAAAAUGUCUUGAGACUUUUGACAAUCCAGUUGAGAAGUUCGACACUGAAGCUAAAAGAAAGUCAUAUUUCCGUGAAAAAUGGGGAAUUGUGGAUCCAGUGGAAAAGACUUUAGGAAUACGCUAUGAUACAAGGUUAAAUAAAAAAUCAGGCACUUAUGACCAGGUACCAGUAAAAGACACUUUUGUGUACAUUCCAAUUUUGGAAACAAUCAAAUUUAUAUGUCGCAAUUCUUAUAUUUGCGAGCUGCUUGCUAAACUAUGUGUAUCAAAAGAAGACAGAU
ensembl:lncRNA